CUGGUUGUAGCUCAGCUUGGUUAGAGCGCUCGCUUUGGAUGCGAGGGGUCGCAUGUUCAAAUCGUGCCAGCCAGA
rnacentral:tRNA from 1 species